GAUGAAGAACGUAGUGAAAUGCGAUACGUAAUGUGAAUUGCAGAAUUCAGUGAAUCAUCGAGUCUUUGAACGCACAUUGCGCCCGCCAGUAUUCUGGCGGGCAUGCCUGUUCGAGCGUCAUUUCAACCCUCAAGACCCCUUCGGGGGACUUGGUGUUGGGGACCGGCAUAGGGGCCUUGCGCCCCUCGCCGCCCCCGAAAUGAAUUGGCGGCCUCGUCGCGGCCUCCCCUGCGUAGUAGCACAACCUCGCAACGGGAACGUGACGGCGGCCACUGCCGUAAAACAACCCAAUUUUAUUAGAGUUGACCUCGAAUCAGGUAGGAAUACCCGCUGAACUUAAGCAUAUCAAUAAGCGGAGGA
rnacentral:misc_RNA from 1 species